rnacentral:misc_RNA from 1 species
GAUGAAGAACGCAGCGAAAUGCGAUAAGUAAUGUGAAUCGCAGAAUUCAGUGAAUCAUCGAAUCUUUGAACGCACAUUGCGCCCCUUGGUAUUCCGGGGGGCAUGCCUGUUCGAGCGUCAUUUCAACCCUCAAGCUCUGCUUGGUAUUGGGCACCGUCCUUUGCGGGCGCGCCUCAAAGACCUCGGCGGUGGCGUCUUGCCUCAAGCGUAGUAGAAUACACCUCGCUUCGGAGCGUAAGGCGUCGCCCGCCGGACGAACCUUCUGAACUUUUCUCAAGGUUGACCUCGGAUCAGGUAGGGAUACCCGCUGAACUUAAACAUAUCAAUAAGCGGAGGA